CUACUGAACAAGAGGUGGCUGCGCUUCUCCUUCCCUCUCACCCCACCACUUGCCUGCUUGAUCCUGUCCCAUCUCACCUAUCAGAUCUCUCUCCCCUUGUCUUGUGCCUUCCUUAGCACACAUCUUCAACUGCUCUCUCUCUUCUGGCAUUGUCCCUGCUGACCUUAAACAUGCCACUGUAGUACCUAUCCUAAAAGAAACAUCUCUCGACCUGUCCUCCCCCUCUAACUAUCAUCCUAUAUCCCUGCUCCCUUUUCCCGCAAAGCUUCUUGAAAGACUUAUCUUUACCCGUAUGUCUCACUUUCU